CUCCGGCUUGCUCGAAGAUGGGAUUUCCAUAUUUCUCCAGAGAUCUUUCACUUCACAAUUUUAAUGGCAAAGGAUGAUUCUCCAUUGGUGAGAAGAUCAUUUCUUGAUAAAACUCACAAAUUACUGAAGGAGCAUGUUAUACCUAGCAGAUAGCAUGUGCUUUCGCAAUGGCCACCUCAGAUUGCCUCAAGGAUCUGCAGGAUGAUUCUUUAAAAUAUAUUGCAGAAUUUGUCAAGGAUUACAGUAGAGAAGCUCAAGUGCGUCAAAUCUCUGGAGUCCAAGAAGGAUUAAACACUGAUUUUCCGCAUA